UCAUUUGCCCUGUAAUUGAGGGCUAGUAUGAAUGGUUUGACAAGAGUAGUACUGUCUCCACAGAAAUUUUUAGAAUUUAUUAUCUAAGUGAAGAAUCUUAGAUAUAAUUAAAAGACAAGAAGACCCUAUCGAGCUUGAAAUAUAUUUACAAGAUAAAAAAAAUAGUUAAUAUAUUUUCAAUUGUAAAAAAUUUUGGUUGGGGCGACUAAGGANCAAAUAAAGCUUCUUUAUAAUAACUUUAACUUAUGAGUAGUGAUCCGUUAAUUAUAGCGAUUAAAAGAAUUAGUUACCGUAGRGAUAACAGCAUAAUCUUUUUUGAGAGUUCUAAUCGAAAAAAGGGUUUGU
rnacentral:rRNA from 1 species